CUGAAAAAUCAGAAAUAAUGGAUAAAUUAUCCGUUGUUCUGGUUACCAACAGAGGCCUUUGUGACACAAAUGUCAUAUGCUUUGUGUGCUGCAGGAAUACUGAGACUGUUGCUGCAUGCUGGGAAGUGCACACAGUCUGGAUCUCAAGAAAAGAGCAGAAAAAAACCUGUUUCUUCCCCACGAGCAGAGCCAGAAAAGGUGACCUUUCUGUCAUUCUUAGAAUAUAUAACAUUAAUUUUAACAUCACCAUGCCUCAUCCUGACAACAAGUUUAGAAGAUUAAAGAAGUACUUCACAGAAUGUAUCACUAAUUUUCUUUUUUUCAUUAAAUAAGCAUGAAUAAUAGAAUUUGC
rnacentral:lncRNA from 1 species